GCCGAGCCACAGUGGUCUGUCCCUAUCGCACCACGCGUCUCCUCGCCUCCAGCAACACCCCCUCUCCUCCUCACACACUGCCUCUACCUUCCCCUCCCAUCCCGGGGCUCUGCUCGGCUCUCUCUCCCCUCUCUACCACACAUAUACAUCAGUAUGUCUUUAGCACCGGUAGCGCUAUACAGUCAGCGAGCAGAGAAGCCCGUUUAGUAUUCCGAGCACAGGGGAAGAGAGGGAGGGAGGGGAGAGUGAAAUACAAAGAAAAAACGAGGGUGAGAAGACAGAAAACACAUUCCAAGACAAGAAAAUAGGAAAGAAUGAGAGGGGAGCGGAGAGAUACCAUAUUGUUCAUUUCUCCCUCUCAGUCUACCCCUCCGCCUUAUUCUUCAAUCCCAGGUUCGGCUACUCACCAUAAUAUCCUGUGUGAUCUUGUGUCACGUAAGUGUUAUAGUCUAUCUAUACUGUAGCUAUGUGCCACCUAACUGACUGUAUGUCUGUCCGGUUCAAAUAUAAAUUGUAUGCAUAUUUUGUGCAGUGAUGUGCGAAUGUAAUCUAUUCUAAUUUAAUGUAUAGCCCAUUGGUUGGAGCUUUAUGACAUGCAUAUGUAGCCUACACUGUAGGUUAUCUCUCGCACAAGUGUGCAGUGUGCAUAGCAUGUAUGUGGGUUUAUAUGUCUGUCGGAUGUAAGCCAUUGCUCUCAGAUAAAUCCAACUUUUGAAUGCAUGUAUAGGUGUAUAGGGCGAAACACACACGCAAGCACGCACACACACACACACACACACACACACACACACUCACACUCACACUCACACACACACACACACACACACACACACAUACAUACACACACACACACACACACACACACACACACACACACACACACACACACACACACACACACACACACACACACACACACACACACACACAUACACACACACACAGCAUGAGUAAGACAGGGGAAACAUGUAGGAGCUGAAACAAGUGUUAUUCCCCUCCACCCACACCCCCUUCACCCCCACCCCACCCCUCUCUCCUCUCCCUUCUCCCCCUCCCCCAUCCAAGGCACAGUGGCUCUGGCUUUAUGAGAUAGACUUCCAUAAUUAUGCAAAUAUGAAUACGCUCAUAUGUAACCAAAGUCACAAGGAUAGUCUCGAUGGCUCACUGACUUUGGCGUAAAUGUAAGUGAAGUAUGAAGCGAGGGCUAUCCACGUGCACUGUGUGGGUGGUGAGAAUGUUGCCAUCUUAGUAUUGGACCAGUGAGCUGCUCUGCAUACAUGGAUGUGCAGCUUCUUCCACCGGCUCUAGUCUGCACAGGAAGAGAGCGGAACCAGUAUCCCAGGGUUCCUCACUGGCCUCUCGCUCAGCUUGGUGCUCGUGCUGUGUUUCCUGUGUGACGAUAUAGAUAAUUUAGACACUCGCGGGAGCAGGCCUGGAGCAGCAGAGAGCCCUGCAUGCAGCACAGCAGACUUCUGUGUGUGUGUGUGUGUGUGUGUGUGUGUGUGUGUGUGUGUGUGUUUAUGUGAUGAUGUAUGGACAUAAACAGAAUAUUGAAACCUCCAACGUCAGAUAGUUGUACUAAAAGCUUGCCUAUGGGCUGUUACAGGCCAGCCUGGAGUAACCUAAAGGCUGAGUCGCAGGCAGCAAAGCUAUUACCUUUAGUCAAUAGACAUUAAUACAAGGUCUUCAAUCUUGGCCUUGUAUUUCUAGUGCCAUCUCACAGCCAAAUACAGGAAGCAGUCCUCUUUUGUAGCGGUAAAGGUAUUUGGUAGUAUCUAUUUACCCUAGUGCAUCAGUUUGACACAGUUGGAUGAGCAGAGAGCACAGAUGAUAUUGGCCCAGACAGACAUGACGCUGUGAUGCACUGGCCUCGAUAGGUAGGAAGUGAUGCAAAGGUCCAUGCCAGUGCUAUUGAGCAAAGGUCAUGACCUCUGUGUGAGUCACGGAGGGCCCUGCAUCCAGUGACUUCAUGUCUUAAAGGAUGAGUCUUGAGGUCGGAAGUGAUAGUGCGCUUAUAACACAAGUCCAUGGAAUACAGUAGAACAGACAGCACAGAACUAAGGAGAGGAUGGUAGAGUAGAGGAGAGGAUGGUAGAGUAGAGGAUGCUUGAGUAGAGUAGAGGAUGGUAGAGUAGAGUAGAGGAUGGUAGAGUAGAGUAGAGGAUGGUAGAGUAGAGGAGAGGAUGGUAGAGUAGAGUACAGGAUGGUUGAGUAGAGUAGAUAAUGGUAGAGUAGAGGAGAGGAUGGUAGAGUAGAGUAGAGGAUGGUUGAGUAGAGGAUGGUAGAGUAGAGUAGAGGAUGGUAGAGUAGAGUAGAGGAUGGUUGAGUAGAGUAGAGGAUGGUAGAGUAGAGUACAGGAUGGUUGAGUAGAGUAGAUAAUGGUAGAGUAGAGGAGAGGAUGGUAGAGUAGAGUAGAGGAUGGUUGAGUAGAGGAUGGUAGAGUAGAGUAGAGGAUGGUAGAGUAGAGUAGAGGAUGGUUGAGUAGAGUAGAGGAUGGUAGAGUAGAGUAGAGGAUGGGUGAGAAGAGUAGAGGAUGGUAGAGUAGAGUAGAGGAUGGUAGAGUAGAGGAGAGGAUGGUAGAGUAGAGUAGAGGAUGGUAGAGUAGAGGAUGGAGAGUAGAGUAGAGGAUGGUAGAGUAGAGUAGAGUAGAGGAUGGUAGAGUAGAGUAGAGGAUGGUUGCGUAGAGUAGAGGAUGGUAGAGUAGAGGAGAGGAUGGUAGAGUAGAGUAGAGGAUGGUAGAGGAGAGGAUGGUAGAGUAGAGUAGAGGAUGGUAGAGUAGAGUAGAGGAUGGUAGAUUAGAGUAGAGGAUGGUAGAGUAGAGGAGAGGAUGGUAGAGGAGAGGAUGGUAGAGUAGAGGAUGGUUGAGGAGAGGAGAGGAUGGUAGAGGAGAGGAUGGUAGAGGAGAGGAUGGUAGAGUGGAGAAGAGAAUGGUAGAGUAGAGGAGAGGAUGGUAGAGGAGAGGAGAGGAUGGUAGAGGAGAGGAGAGGAUGGUAAAGUAGAGGAGAGGAUGGUAGAGGAGAGGAGAGGAUGGUAGAAUAGAGGAGAGGAUGGUCGAGGAGAGAAGAGGAUGGUAGAGUAGAGAAGAGGAUGGUAGAAGAGAGGAGAGGAUGGUAGAGGAGAGGAUGGUAAAGUAGAGGAGAGGAUGGUAGAGAAGAGGAGAGGAUGGUAGAGUAGAUGAGAAGAUGGUAGAGGAGAGGAGAGGAUGGUAGAGGAGAGGAUGGUAGAGGAGAGGAGAGGAUGGUAGAGGAGAGGAUGGUAGAGGAGAGUAUGGUAGAGUAGAGGAGAGGAUGGUAUAGUAGAGGAGAGGAUGGUAGAGUAGAGGAUGGUAGAGUAGAGGAGAGGAUGGUAGAGUAGAGGAGAGGAUGGUAGAGGAGAGGAGAGGAUGGUAGAGUGAGGAGAAGAUGGUAGAGGGGAUGGGAGAGGAGAGGAGAGGAUGGUAGAGGAGAGGAGAGGAGAGGAUGGUAGAGUAGAGGAGAGGAUGUAGAGGAGAGGAGAGGAUGGUAGAGUAAAGGAGAAGAUGGUAGAGUAGAGGAGAGGAUGGUAGAGGAGAGGAAAGGAUGGUAGAGUAGAGCAGAGUAUAGUAGAGUAGAGGGAUGGUAGAGUAGAGUAGAGGAUGGUAGAGGAGAGGAUGGUAGAGUAGAGUAGAGGAUGGUAGAGAGAGGAUGGUAGAGUAGAGUAGAGGAUGGUAGAGUAGAGGAUGGUAAAGUAGAUGGUAGAGGAGAGGAUGGUAGAGUAGAGUAGAGGAUGAUAGAGGAGAGGAGAGGAUGGUAAAGUAGAGGAGAGGAUGGUAGAGUAGAGUAGAGGAUGGUAGAGUAGAGGAGAGGAUGGUAAAGGAGAGGAGAGGAUGGUAGAGUACAGGAUGGUAGAGUAGAAGAGAGGAUGGUAAAAUAGAGUAGAGGAUGGUAGAGUAGAGAAGAGGAUGGUAAAGUAGAGGAGAGGAUGGUAGAGUAGAGUAGAGGAUGGUAGAGUAGAGGAGAGGAUGGUAAAGGAGAGGAGAGGAUGGUAGAGUACAGGAUGGUAGAGUAGAAGAGAGGAUAGUAGAGUAGAGGAUGGUAGAGUAGAGAAGAGGAUGGUAAAUGAGAGGAGAGGAUAUAGAGUAGAGGAUGGUAGAGUAGAGUAGAGGAUGGUAAAGUAGAGUAGAGGAUGGUAAAAUAGAGUAGAGGAUGGUAGAGUAGAGAAGAGGAUGGUAAAGGAGAGGAGAGGAUGGUAGUGUAGAGUAGAGGAUGGUAGAGUAGAGGAUGGUAGAGGAGAGUAGAGGAUGGUAGAGUAGAGAAGAGGAUGGUAAAUGAGAGGAGAGGAUUAUAGUGUAGAGGAUGGUAGAGGAGAGGAUGGUAGAGUAGAGGAUGGUAGAGUAGAGGAGAGGAUGGUAGAGUAGAGUAGAGGAUGGUAGAGUAGAGGAUGGUAGAGGAGAGGAGAGGAUGGUAAAGGAGAGGAGAGGAUGGUAGAGUAGAGGAUGGUAGAGGUGAGGAGAGGAUGGUAGAGUAGAGGAGAGGAUGGUAGAGUACAGUAGAGGAUGGUAGAGUAUAGUAGAGGAUGGUAGAGUAGAGGAUGGUAGAGGAGAGGAGAGGAUGGUAAAGUAGAGUAGAGGAUGGUAGAGUAGAGAAGAGGAUGGCAAAGGAGAGGAGAGGAUGGUAGAGUAGAGGAUGGUAGAGGAGAGGAGAGGAAGGUAGAGUAGAGGAUAGGAUGGUAGAGUAGAGGAUGGUAUAGUAGAGUAGAGGAUGGUAGAGUAGAGUAGAGGAUGGUAGAGGAGAGGAGAGGUGAGGAUGGUAGAGUAGAGUAGAGGAUGGUAGAGUAGAAGAGAGGAUGGUAGAGUAGAGGAGAGGAUGGUAAAGGAGAGGAGAGGAUGGUAGAGUAGAGGAGAGGAUGGUAGAGUAGAGUAGAGGAUGGUAGAGUAGAGGAUGGUAGAGUAGAGGAGAGGAUGGUAAAGGAGAGGAUGGUAGAGUAGAGGAGAGGAUGGUAAAGGAGAGGAGAGUAUGGUAGAGUACAGGAUGGUAGAGUAGAGGAUGGUAGAGUAGAAGAGAGGAUGGUAAAGUAGAGUAGAGGAUGGUAGAGUAGAGAAGAGGAUGGUAAAUGAGAGGAGAGGAUAUAGAGUAGAGGAUGGUAGAGUAGAGUAGAGGAGAGGAUGGUAAAGUCGAGUAGAGGAUGGUAAAGUAGAGUAGAGGAUGGUAGAGUAGAGAAGAGGAUGGUAAAGGAGAGGAGAGGAUGGUAAAGGAGAGGAGAGGAUGGUAGAGUAGAGUAGAGUAGAGUAGAGGAUGGUAGAGUAGAGAAGAGGAUGGUAAAGGAGAGGAGAGGAUUAUAGUGUAGAGGAUGGUAGAGGAGAGAAGAGGAUGGUAAAGGAGAGGAGAGGAUGGUAAAGGAGAGGAGAGGAUGGUAGAGUAGAGUAGAGGAUGGUAGAGGAGAGUAGAGGAUGGUAAAGGAGAGGAGUGGAUGGUAGAGUAGAGUAGAGGAUGGUAGAGUAGAGAAGAGGAUGGUAAAGCAGAGGAGAGGAUGGUAGAGUAGAGUAGAGGAUGGUAGAGGAGAGGAGAGGAUGGUAGAGUAGAGUAGAGGAUGGUUGAGUAGAGAAGAGGAUGGUAAAGGAGAGGAGAGGAUUAUAGUGUAGAGGAUGGUAGAGGAGAGAAUGGUAGAGUAGAGGAGAGGAUGGUAGAGUAGAGUAGAGGAUGGUAGAGUAGAGAAGAGGAUGGUAAAGGAGAGGAGAGGAUUAUAGUGUAGAGGAUGGUAGAGGAGAGAAUGGUAGAGUAGAGGAGAGGAUGGUAGAGUAGAGUAGAGGAUGGUAGAGUAGAGAAGAGGAUGGUAAAGGAGAGGAGAGGAUGGUAGAGGUGAGGAGAGGAUGGUAGAGUAGAGGAGAGGAUGGUAGAGUACAGUAGAGGAUGGUAGAGUAGAGUAGAGGAUGGUAGAGUAGAGGAUGGUAGAGGAGAGGAGAGGAUGGUAGAGUAGAGUAGAGGAUGGUAGAGUAGAGUAAUGGAUGGUAGAGUAGAGGAGAAGAUGGUAGAGUAGAGGAGAGGAUGGUAGAGGAGAGUAGAGGAUGGUAGAGUAGAGUAGAGGAUGGUAGAGUAGAGGAGAAGAUGGUAGAGUAGAGGAAAGGAUGGUAAAGGAGAGGAGAGGAUGGUAGAGUAGAGGAUGGUAGAGGAGAGAGAAGGAUGGUAGAGAGGA
ensembl:lncRNA